CAGCCGCCGCGGUAAUACCGGCGGCCCGAGUGGCGGUCACUAUUAUUGGGCUUAAAGCGUCCGUAGCCGGGGUGGGAAGUCCUCCGGGAAAUCUGGCCGCUUAAAGGUCAGAAUGCCGGAGGAUACUCCCAGCCUAGGGAGCGGGAGAGGCCGAGGGGAUUCCCGGAGUAGGGGUGAAAUCCUAUAAUCCCGGGAGGACCACCUGUGGCGAAGGCGCUCGGCUGGAACGCGUCCGACGGUGAGGGACGAAGGCCAGGGGAGCAAACCGGAUUAGAUACCCGGGUAGUCCUGGCUGUAAACGAUGCGGACUUUGUGUCGGACAAGCUAUGAGCUUGUCCGGUGCCGGAGGGAAACCGUUAAGUCCGCCGCCUGGGGAGUACGGCCGCAAGGCUGAAACUUAAAGGAAUUGGCGGG
rnacentral:rRNA from 1 species